rnacentral:lncRNA from 1 species
GCAUAUGUUCACACAUGCAUGCAUGCAUGUCACACACACACACAUACAGUGCUUAUUUUUAUAAAAUUUAGCUGUCAGUACUUCUUACUAUCUGAUUGUGUUUAACAGAAUUGCUAUGUACCAUCCUGAUUCAGAUUUUAGAAAUAAAUGCUGGUACCAUCAGUACAUACCAUCACAAAUAAAGCACUGUAUGUACGUACGAGAAAUAAUAUAUAUCUGUAAGCAAUUCUUUAUCAUAUUUCAAAGUAGCAACAAUUUUAGAUACACAUUAAUUUGUAUUUUAAACAAUAAUAAUACAUACAUUCACCCUUAUAUGUACAUACUGUCUUGACAUAUUACAGGGGUAGCAAACUUCAUGUCAUUAGAAGCCAUAUAGGACAGUCUCCAAUACUAGAGCUGCAAUCAGUUUUUUUCUAUAUCAAUGAGAACCACAUCAGGGUUUUUUGAGUAAUCUUAACAAUUGUUUCAAAAAUUAUUUAUUAUAUAUUUCACAUAUAUUUAUUUCCUGUAGAGGCAUAUUUCUUUUUACAAUAAAUGAACAAAUUACAAAUACACUAUUUUUUAAAAUUAAAUAGGCAUUUGCUUCAUAUUAAUAUUGAUUUUCAUAGUAUGGAGCCACAGUGAAAGUAACAAAGAGCUGCAUGUGACUCACAAACUGCAAUUUGGCCAUUGUGGGUAUAUACAGGUACUCCUCACUUAAUGAUCUGCCUGUUUAAUGACUGCUUAAACUUACAUCCAAG